UACGGAGGGGGCUAGCGUUGUUCGGAAUUACUGGGCGUAAAGCGCACGUAGGCGGCUUUGCAAGUUAGAGGUGAAAGCCCGGGGCUCAACUCCGGAAUUGCCUUUAAAACUGCAUCGCUAGAAUUGUGGAGAGGUAAGUGGAAUUCCGAGUGUAGAGGUGAAAUUCGUAGAUAUUCGCAGGAACACCAGUGGCGAAGGCGGCUUACUGGUCCAUAACUGACGCUGAGGUGCGAAAGCGUGGGGAGCAAACGGG
rnacentral:rRNA from 1 species